rnacentral:rRNA from 1 species
UACGAAGGUGGCAAGCGUUACUCGGAAUUACUAGGCGUAAAGGGCAGGUAGGUGGUUUGGUAAGUCUGUUGUGAAAGCUCCUGGCUUAACUGGGAGAGGUCAACAGAAACUACCGGACUUGAGUGUGGGAGAGGGUACUGGAAUUCCUGGUGUAGCGGUGAAAUGCGCAGAGAUCAGGAGGAACACCUAUGGCGAAAGCAGGUACCUGGACCACUACUGACACUCAGCUGCGAAAGCUAGGGGAGCAAACAGG